rnacentral:rRNA from 1 species
GAUGAACGCUAGCGGCAGGCCUAACACAUGCAAGUCGAGGGAGAAGCCCUUUCGGGGGCAGAAACCGGCGCACGGGUGCGUAACGCGUAUGCAACCUACCUUUCACAGGGGGAUAGCCCGAAGAAAUUUGGAUUAAUACCCCAUAAUAUUGUUGGAUGGCAUCAUUUGGCAAUUAAAACUGCGGUGGUGAAAGAUGGGCAUGCAUCCUAUUAGCUAGUUGGAGUGGUAACGGCACCCCAAGGCUACGAUAGGUAGGGGUCCUGAGAGGGAGAUCCCCCACACUGGUACUGAGACAGGGACCAGACUCCUACGGGAGGCAGCAGUGAGGAAUAUUGGUCAAUGGUCGGAAGACUGAACCAGCCAUGCCGCGUGCAGGAAGAAUGCCUUAUGGGUUGUAAACUGCUUUUAUAUGGGAAGAAUAAGGCGUACGUGUACGUUGAUGACGGUACCAUAUGAAUAAGCAUCGGCUAACUCCGUG